rnacentral:rRNA from 1 species
UACAGGGGGUGCAAACGUUGCUCGGAAUUAUUGGGCGUAAAGCGCGCGUAGGCGGCUACCUAAGUCGGAUGUGAAAGCCCUUGGCUCAACUGAGGAAGUGCAUCCGAAACUGGCAGGCUAGAGUACGUAAGAGGGUCGCGGAAUUCCCGGUGUAGAGGUGAAAUUCGUAGAUAUCGGGAGGAACACCGGUGGCGAAGGCGGCGACCUGGGACGAUACUGACGCUGAGGUGCGAAAGCGUGGGGAGCAAACAGG